GACGAACGCUGGCGGCGUGCCUAAUACAUGCAAGUUGAGCGCUGAAGGUUGGUACUUGUGCCAACUGGAUGAGCAGCGAACGGGUGGGUAACGCGUGGGGAAUCUGCCUUUGAGCGGGGGACAACAUUUGGAAACGAAUGCUAAUACCGCAUAAAAACUUUAAACACAAGUUUUAAGUUUGAAAGAUGCAAUUGCAUCACUCAAAGAUGAUCCCGCGUUGUAUUAGCUAGUUGGUGAGGUAAAGGCUCACCAAGGCGAUGAUACAUAGCCGACCUGAGAGGGUGAUCGGCCACAUUGGGACUGAGACACGGCCCAAACUCCUACGGGAGGCAGCAGUAGGGAAUCUUCGGCAAUGGACGAAAGUCUGACCGAGCAACGCCGCGUGAGUGAAGAAGGUUUUCGGAUCGUAAAACUCUGUUGGUAGAGAAGAACGUUGGUGAGAGUGGAAAGCUCAUCAAGUGACGGUAACUACCCAGAAAGGGACGGCUAACUACGUG
rnacentral:rRNA from 1 species